AUUGAACGCUGGCGGCAGGCCUAACACAUGCAAGUCGAACGGUAACAGGAAGCAGCUUGCUGCUUCGCUGACGAGUGGCGGACGGGUGAGUAAUGUCUGGGAAGCUGCCUGAUGGAGGGGGAUAACUACUGGAAACGGUAGCUAAUACCGCAUAAUGUCGCAAGACCAAAGAGGGGGACCUUCGGGCCUCUUGCCCUCGGAUGUGCCCAGAUGGGAUUAGCUUGUUGGUGGGGUAACGGCUCACCAAGGCGACGAUCCCUAGCUGGUCUGAGAGGAUGACCAGCCACACUGGAACUGAGACACGGUCCAGACUCCUACGGGAGGCAGCAGUGGGGAAUAUUGCACAAUGGACGCAAGCCUGAUGCAGCCAUGCUGCGUGUAUGAAGAAGGCCUUCGGGUUGUAAAGUACUUUCAGCGGGGAGGAAGGGAGUAAAGUUAAUACCUUGGCUCAUUGACGUUACCCGCAGAAGAAGCACCGGCUAACUCCGUG
rnacentral:rRNA from 1 species